rnacentral:tRNA from 1 species
GGAAUGUGGCUCAGUGGUAGAGUGCUUGCCUCUCAUGCAUGAGGCCCUGAGUUCAAUUCCCAUCACCA